UACAGAGGUCUUAAGCGUUGUUCGGAUUCAUUGGGCGUAAAGGGUGCGUAGGCGGCGCGGUAAGUCGGGUGUGAAAUCUCGGAGCUUAACUUCGAAACUGCAUUCGAUACUGCCGUGCUUGAGGACUGGAGAGGAGACUGGAAUUUACGGUGUAGCGGUGAAAUGCGUAGAUAUCGUAAGGAAGACCAGUGGCGAAGGCGGGUCUCUGGACAGUUCCUGACGCUGAGGCACGAAGGUCAGGGGAGCAAACGGG
rnacentral:rRNA from 1 species